UACGGAGGGUGCAAGCGUUAUCCGGAUUCACUGGGUUUAAAGGGUGCGUAGGCGGGCAGAUAAGUCAGUGGUGAAAUACCUGAGCUUAACUUGGGAACUGCCAUUGAUACUAUCUGUCUUGAAUAUCGUGGAGGUAAGCGGAAUAUGUCAUGUAGCGGUGAAAUGCUUAGAUAUGACAUAGAACACCAAUUGCGAAGGCAGCUUACUACCCGAAUAUUGACACUGAGGCACGAAAGCGUGGGGAUCAAACAGG
rnacentral:rRNA from 1 species